CUCUAGCAGGUUAAAAUUUCUA
rnacentral:siRNA from 1 species